rnacentral:lncRNA from 1 species
CCAUGCAGACGCACUAUCUCUUUGAAAAAUAAUUCUGCAACAUGUGAAGCAUCAUCGGUUCUGUGGCAUGGCACGAAAUGAGAUAUUUUUGAGAAUCAAUCUACAACCACCAAAACUGAAUCCUUCAUUUGCAGUGGAAGGGAGACUUCUUCAUCUGGAGCCUGCUUGGCUACAAGAACAAAAAUAGUUUCAUGGUUAGUCAAAACUCGCUUCACUUCCCCCUUGUUGGCAAACAUAUUC